GUAUAUUGGUUACUUAAUGACAAAAAUGAUUUGCUUCCUAGCUGGUUCUUGAUGUGUAUUUACUUGGGUGCAGAAAUACCUAGGCUGAGUGUGGAGGGACUAUGAGCCAUCCAGGAGCUGCUAUACCAAAGAAAAAUGGGGAACCUGGGUGUGCUUGGCCUUGCUGGGCUCCUGAAGACACUGAGGCUGAUGGAGCAAAGUUGUCAAAGGUGCAGGAAAGCAACUGUGUUUUCAACAGAUACAUAACAGCCUAAUAGCAGGGAUCUUGUGUAAGAACUUUCACUGGAGCCAUGAAUAAAGAACAGGUAAAUAAAUGGCGGUAUGUUUUGGUACAGGUUUCAUACAUAUACACUCUUACGCCUGCGUACACACUGUAUAUCAUGUGGGGGCUACUGGAG